rnacentral:rRNA from 1 species
AAUGAACGCUGGCGGCAUGCCUAACACAUGCAAGUCGAACGAAGCCUUCGGGCUUAGUGGCGCACGGGUGCGUAACGCGUGGGAAUCUGCCCUUGGGUUCGGAAUAACUCUCCGAAGGGAGUGCUAAUACCGGAUGAUGUCGAAAGACCAAAGAUUUAUCGCCCAGGGAUGAGCCCGCGUAGGAUUAGCUAGUUGGUGAGGGAUAAGCUCAUCAAGGCGACGAUCCUUAGCUGGUCUGAGAGGAUGAUCAGCCACACUGGGACGAGGACACGCCCCCGACUCGUACGGGAUGCAGCAGUGGGGAAUAUUGCACAAUGGGCGAAAGCCUGAUCCAGCAAUGCCGCGUGAGUGAUGAAGGCCUUAGGGUUGUAAAGCUCUUUUACCCGGGAUGAUAAUGACAGUACCGGGAGAAUAAGCCCCGGCUAACUCCGUGCCAGCCGCCGCGGUAA